CAAAUGAAUUGACGGGGCCGCACAAGCGGAGGAACAUGUGGUUAAUUCGAUGAUACGCGAGGAACCUUACCUGGGCUUAAAUGUAGAGUGCAUUUUUUAGAGAUAGAAAUUCCCUUCGGGGCUUUCUGCAAGGUGCUGCAUGGUUGUCGUCAGCUCGUGCCGUGAGGUGUCGGGUUAAGUCCCAUAACGAGCGCAACCCUUAUCGUUAGUUGCCAUCUGGUAAUGCAGGGGACUCUAGCGAAACUGCCACCGUAAGGUGAGAGGAAGUGGGAUGACGUCAAAUCAGCACGGCCCUUAUGUCCAGGGCUACACACGUGUUACAAUGGUCGGUACAGAGGGCAGCUACCUGGUGACAGGAUGCUAAUCUCGAAAACCGGUCUCAGUUCGGAUCGAAGUCUGCAACUCGACUUCGUGAAGCUGGAUUCGCUAGUAAUCGCGCAUCAGCCAUGGCGCGGUGAAUACGUUCCCGGGCCUU
rnacentral:rRNA from 1 species